GUUGUAUCUUACUCAUUACACUUCUAACCACCCUAACUAACUUCAUGUUAUCUCUCUAACUUCCUUUAACUAAUUUGUGCUGACUUGGCAGCUGAGUUGUCCUAUGUUGACUUGGCAGCUGAGCUGUCCUCAUUUCCUUUCAGCCAACAUUAGAGUCAUACAACACCAGGUAUGAACAGGCUUUUAUUUUCAAAAAACUUGCAAAAGUAUGCAGCAUACAAAACAUAAGUCAAUAUGGACAAAAAUUAUGGGCAGGGAUUUAGAGAGGCUAACAUGGCGGUAAGUAAAUUUGGACUCCGAGAAACCAUAGAUCAUAUCAUUCGAAACAAGAUUCUCCCUCAAUAACUAUUUUUUAUUUAGACUUGGCAAGAAAUAGUAAGGGAAUCUUAGUCAUUUUCUCAAGUUGUUGUAGGUUAUUCAAAUAUAACUUUAACUCUAUAAUCCUUCUCGUUGUGACCAAAGGAAAUUGAAAGGAACUAUGAACUAUAUAUUGUUUAAACAUGAAUUACGUUUAGUUUUGCCUAGACUGUGAUUGUAUUUUGCACGAAGUUUCACUUUGGCUUGUGAUGGAGUCUAACAUGUGUCAAAAUUCAAGGAAAAUGGGUUGAAAUCAUUAAUAUUUUACAUAGCAUGUAAGUGUUAGCUUCUCAUGCUAUAAUAAAGUUAAACUUCCAAUAGAACAUAAGAUGAUUUCAGUUUGUCCUACAAUUAUUUAUUACGUUGGUAAGACAGUGAUAAAACUAACUUCUAAAAACGUGUAGACAUUAAUUAACGUGUAGACAUUCAUUAAGUGGCCACAUAUUCCCACAACAUGGGCACACAAGACGUGAAGGGAGGAUGUUGCACUCUAGAUAACAACAUCUAUGGCAGGCUAAUGAUUGAAGUGGUGGAGCACUUGGCGAUACAGAUAUUGGAGGUGGAAUCACAUGAGAAUUGUCACUGGGCGAUACAAAUAUUGGAGGUGGAAUUACUUGAGAAUUGUCAGAUGUAACACGUGUAGAAUCGGACAAUGUCGUUUCAAGUUCUUGUUGCUUUCUCAUUUUCCAUCCAAGAUAUAGAGAAUGUCUCAUAGCCCACAGAAGGAAGCCAAUGAUAAAAGCCAUGACAAACCAAAAAAUCAUGACUCGAAUGUGGGAUGAUGGUUUGCAUGGCUUUCCUGCCAAUGGUGCAAUAUCACUGAAAUACGACAUCUAUACAUAUAACACAAGAUAAGUAAAAAGGGGAUUUUAGAUUUUAGAGCUUAAGUAAGAUUCUUUUAAGAUUUUAACUUGGAUGGUUUUAUAAAUCUAAUUUUAAGUCCUUAUUAUCAAAACUUACCAUAUUUAAGUAUUUAUAGCACAUUUCUUAUAAUUAAAAAAAGUCAACAACAAUACAAAAAUAAUUUGUAUUUAAAAAAAAACCUCAUAGGUUCGGAAGUAUCAGCACAUAAGUUUUAGUAUGAUUGCAUAGGUACAUAAGUUUUGGUAUGAUGUAUCGGUACAAAGUUUCGGUAUGAUGUAUCAGUAUAUAAGUUUCGGUAUGAUGUAUCAGUAAAUAAGUUUCAGUAUGAUUGCAUUGGUACAUAAGUUUCGGCAUGAAUAUAUUGGUACAUAAGUUUCGGUACGAAUGUAGCGCUACGAUUGCGUCAGUACAUAAGUCUCGGUAUGAACGCAUCGGUACAUAAGUGUCUGUAUGAAUGUAUUAGUACAUAUGUUUCGGUACGAAUGUAUUGGUACAUAAGUUUUGGUACAAAAUGUAUCGGCACAUAACUAUAGUACAUACAUAGGUACGUAAUAUGCAUAUAUAUAUAUAUAUAUAUAUAUAGAGAGAGAGAGAGAGAGAGAGAGAGAGAGAGAGAGAGAGAAAUUUAUGCACAAUAAAGAAUAUAUGAUAUAUAUAUAUGGUUUUUUUAAUUGUGGAAACUUAAUAAUCAUUGUCAAAUAAUAUUUUUAUUGUUUAUAAGCAUCAAUAUAUAACCUACAUACAAAAGCUAAAUCAUUAUUUCAACCUAAUUAAUAUAUUGUUUAAACAUGAAUUACGUUUAGUUUUGUCUAGAUUGUUAUCGUAUUGUGCAUGAAGUUCCAUUUUGACUUGUGAAGUCUAAUAUGUUAAAAUUCAAGGAGAAUGGGUUGAAAUCAUCAAUAUUUUACCUAGCAUGUAAGUGUUGACUUCUCACACUGUAAUAAAGUUAAGCUUCCAAUAGAACAUAAGAUGAUUUUAGUUUGUACUACAAUUAUUUAUUACGUUGGUAAGACAGUGAUAAGACUUACUACUUAAAACGUGUAGACAUUAAUUAAGUGGCCACAUAUUCCCACAACAUGGACACACAAGCUAUGAAGGGAGGAUGUUGCACUCCGGAUAACCACAUCUAUGGCAGGCUAAUGCUUCAAGUGGUGGAGCACUUGGCGAUACAGAUAUUGAAGGUGGAAUCAUAAGUGAAUUGUCACUGGGCGAUACAAAUAUUGGAGGUGGAAUCACUUGAGAAUUGUCAGAUGUAACACGCGUAGAAUCGGACAGUGUCGUUUCAAGUUCUUGUUGCUUUCUCAUUUUCCAUCCAUGAUAUAGAGAAUGUCCCAUAGCCCACAGAAGGAAGCCAAUGAUAAAAGCCAUGACAAACAAAAAAAUCAUGACUCGAAUGUGGGAUGAUGGUUAGCAUGGCUUUCCUGCCAAUGGUGCAAUAUCACUGAAAUAUGACAUCUAUACAAAUAACACAAGAUAAGUAAAAAGGGGAUUUUAGAUUUUAGGGCUUAAGUAAGAUUCUUUUAAGAUUUUAACUUGGAUGGUUUUAUAAAUCUAAUUUUAAGUCCUUAUUAUUAAAACUUACCAUAUUUAAGUAUUUAUAGCACAUUUCUUAUAAUUAAAAAAAGUCAACAACAAUAAAAAAAUCAAUUUGUAUUUAAAAAAAACCUCAUAGGUUCGGAAGUAUCAGCACGUAAGUUUUAGUACGAUUGCAUAGGUACGUAAGUUUUGGUAUGAUGUAUCGGUACAAAGUUUCGGUAUGAUGUAUCAAUACAUAAGUUUCGGUACGAUUUAUCAGUAAAUAAGUUUCGGUACGAUUGCAUUGGUACAUACGUUUCAGCACGAAUAUAUCAAUACAUAAGUUUCAGUACGAAUGUAGUGCUACGAUUACGUCAGUACAUAAGUCUCGGUAUGAACGCAUCAGUACAUAAGUUUUUGUAUGAAUGUAUUAGUUCAUAUGUUUAGGUACAAAUGUAUUGGUACAUAAGUUUCGGUACGAUUGCAUAGGUAUAUAAGUUUCGGUACAAAUGUAUCGGUACAUAAGUUUUCGUACAAAAUGUAUCGGCACAUAACUAUAGUACGUACAUAGGUACGUAAUAUGCAUAUAUAUAUAUGUAGAGAGAGAGAGAGAGAGAGAGAGAGAGAGAAAUAGAGAGAAAUUUACGGACAAUGAAGAAUAUAUGAUACAUAUAUAUAUGGUUUUUUUAAUUGUGGAAACUUAAUAAUCAUUGUCAAAUAAUAUUUUUAUUGUUUAUAAGGAUCAAUAUAUAACCUACAUACAAAAGCUAAAUCAUUAUUUCAACCUAAUUAAUAAAUUGUUUAAACAUGAAUUACGUUUAGUUUUGUCUAGAUUGUUAUCGUAUUGUGCAUGAAGUUCCAUUUUGACAUGUGAAGUCUAAUAUGUCAAAAUUCAAGGAGAAUGGGUUGAAAUCAUCAAUAUUUUACCUAGCAUGUAAGUGUUGACUUCUCACACUGUAAUAAAGUUAAACUUCCAAUAGAACAUAAGAUGAUUUUAGUUUGUACUACAAUUAUUUAUUACGUUGGUAAGACAGUGAUAAGACUAACUUUUUAAAAUGUGUAGACAUUCAUUAACGUGUAGACAUUAAUUAAGUGGCCACAUAUUCCCACAACAUGGACACACAAGCUGUGAAGGGAGGAUGUUGCACUCCAGAUAACCACAUCUAUGGCAGGCUAAUGCUUCAAGUGGUGGAGCACUUGGCGAUACAUAUAUUGGAGGUGGAAUCACAUGAGUGAUACAAAUAUUGGAGGUGGAAUCACUUGAGAAUUGUCAGAUGUAACACGCGUAGAAUCGGACAGUGUCAUUUCAAGUUCUUGUUGCUUUCUCAUUUUCCAUCCACGAUACAGAGAAUGUCCCAUAGCCCACAGAAGGAAGCCAAUGAUAAAAGCCAUGACAAACCAAAAAAUCAUGACUCGAGUGUGGGAUGAUGGUUUGCAUGGCUUUACUGCCAAUGGUGCAAUAUCACUAAAAUACAGCAUCAAUACAUAUAGCACAAGAUAAGUAAAAAAGGGAUUUUAGAUUUUAGGGCUUAAGUAAGAUUCUUUUAAGAUUUUAACUUGGAUGGUUUUACAAAUCUAAUUUUAAGUCCUUAUUAUCAAAACUUACCACAUUUAAGUAUUUAUUGCACAUUUCUUAUAAUUAAAAAAAAGUCAACAACAAUACAAAAACAAUUUGUAUUUGGAAAAAAAAAACCUCGUAGGUUCGGUUCGGAAGUAUCAGCACGUAAGUUUCAGUACGAUUGCAUAGGUACAUAAGUUUUGGUAUGAUGUAUCAGUACAAAGUUUCAGUACGAUGUAUCAGUACAUAAGUUUCGGUACGAUGUAUCAAUAAAUAAGUUUCGGUACGAUUACAUUGGUACAUAAGUUUCGGCAUGAAUAUAUCGGUACAUAAGUUUCGGUAUGAAUGUAGCGCUACGAUUGCUUCCGUACAUAAAUCUCGAUAUGAACGCAUCGGUACAUAAGUUUCUGUAUGAAUGUAUUAGUACAUAUAUUUCGGUACGAAUGUAUUGGUACAUAAGUUUCGGUACGAUUGCACAUGUAUAUAAGUUUCGGUACGAAUAUAUCAAUACAUAAGUUUUGGUACAAAAUGUAUCGGCACAUAACUAUAGUACAUACAUAGGUACGUGAUAUGCA
rnacentral:lncRNA from 1 species